UCGAUCGAAAGAUAUGCCGACUCGGCUACGAUCAGGUGGAACUAUAUGCUGACUUGACUACGAUAGGAUGGAACAAUAUGCCAACUCGACUACGAUCGGAUGAAACAAUAUGCCGACUCAACUCCGAUAGGAUGGAAGAAUAUGCCGACUCGAUUCCAAUCAGAGAAAACAAUAUGCCGACUCGACUACGAUCGGAUGGAACAAUAUGUCGACUCGACCAC
rnacentral:lncRNA from 1 species